rnacentral:lncRNA from 1 species
GCAUUUCAAAUAGUUUCUACCCAAAAUACUUACCAAAAUCAGUCAAACAUCUUACAAAAGAUCCUAAACAUAAAUAUUUAGACAACCAAAAUAAAAAUAUACAAAGAAAUUACUAAGUUAAGAUGGAGAGGUUGAUGAAGUGUUUGACAAGGGAGAAUUGGUUGGUGCGGUUCCUGCUGUGGUUGGUGGUGCAUUUCCUAGAGUGUUUCCUGCUGUGGUUGGUGGUUCAGCUCUUAGAGUGGUACCUGGUGUUGUGGUUGGUGCGGCUAGAUCUGAUUGAGAAGCCACAUAUGCUGCAAAUGCUGGAUCAUUUGUUUUGAAAUAGGAUAAGAGCAACUCCAAGCUUGCGAUCUUAGAUUGAGAAACUCGGUUCUCCGCAUCACGUCUUGCAUU